UACGUAGGGUGCAAGCGUUGUCCGGAAUUAUUGGGCGUAAAGAGCUCGUAGGCGGUCUGUCGCGUCGAAUGUGAAAACCCGGGGCUCAACCCCGGGCCUGCAUUCGAUACGGGCAGACUAGAGUUCGGUAGGGGAGUCUGGAAUUCCUGGUGUAGCGGUGAAAUGCGUAGAUAUCUGGAGGAAUACCGGUGGCGAAGGCGGCAUCCUGGACCGGCAUUGACGCUGAGGAGCGAAAGCUAGGGGAGCAAACGGG
rnacentral:rRNA from 1 species